rnacentral:lncRNA from 1 species
CCAGAGUUGUGUCCUCCCUCAUAUCCCGGAAGUGAAGGCUCUGAAUGACUACAACUCCCAGUACAGAAGAGGUUGCCCUUGCGAGGAGGCGGAGGAGACAGGCCAUCGAGCAUUUCGGGACUUGGAGUUUUCGCACUGCUUGUGGUUUCCGCAGGUUUUAGCGCGCGGUUUUGGGUAGUGGCUGGAGAAGUGGCGCUAAAUUAGAGAACUGGUGUAUUGUGUAGUAUAGGCUAGGCAAAUAAUUCGAUUUUAAGUAAUCCUUAUUGCACACCAUUCCUUCAGAAAUGUGGAAAAACAAGCAGUCUCCUCUUUUCUAAUUUGACCUUAGGCAAACUAGGAAAAGACCAGAAAGAAUCGGAAGAAAUCCUAAUAUAAGGGAAAGAGCAGUGGUCUGAGAUGGCAAAUUCUGGGUGCUUGUUCUAGAAAGCUCUUUGCCCUGAGCUAAUAUCUGCUGCCAAUCCUCCUCUUUUUCCUGAGGAAGACUGGCCCUGAGCUAACAUCCGUG